rnacentral:rRNA from 1 species
CCUGAGAAACCCAAAAGAUCGAAUGGGGAGAUUCAUCGUCAGCGAUCCAGGCGCGUGUGCGGUUCGUGAUGCCGUAAGACUUCGGUCUUGAGGUACACGUCCGUGUGGUUUUCUGCCUGGUGUCGUCGGCGUGCACUUCUCCCCUAGUAGGACGUCGCGACCCGUUGGGUGUCGGUCUACGGCCCGGGUGGGUGCCUGUCAUGUGUACGACGCUUCACGGCGUCAUGUGGCUGACAGACCCCCGGUUGUCUGACCAGCUGCCCGGCGGUACUCGCACGGUAUCGAGCCGCAAUUUGAACUGCGUCCAGCCCGCCGCAAGCGAGGCCAGUGUUUCCCGGAAGUACGGACCUAGUGCCGUCACCGGGCCUGGCCAGCUGUUGGUUGGCGGUGUCCUAGGACUGGCUUUAACGAUACCG